UGCAGCUUCGUGCGGCAGCGUUUGGCCGACACAUCCUGAGCCUCGCAUGAGGGCGUUCAGACGAAGACAUGGAGAGCACGACUUUAAACCCAGUCCGUCGUGGCUGCACCGAGCAAAGGGAGCCUCCAUCUUACCUUUCACGCUUCGGCCAAGUCGACAUCGUAACCGUUGCACUCGGCAAUCUUCCAUCUGCACAGAGAUGCUUUCAAGAGGUUCCGUAGCCACUCGGGCAACACUUCACGAUAAAUAUCUCUCUCUCAGAAGAGAAAGGACGGGAGCCAUGUGGUUGAGUGCCUCGACAGCUACUUCCAGAAAAGACUACGGCCGUUGUUCCUUAUUGGAAAAACAAGGAAAACAUUCAAUGCCGUUUUGACCUCUACAUGGGUG
ensembl:lncRNA